rnacentral:rRNA from 1 species
AAGAUUAAGCCAUGCAUGUCUAAGUAUAAGCAAUUAUACCGUGAAACUGCGAAUGGCUCAUUAAAUCAGUUAUCGUUUAUUUGAUAGUACCUUACUACUUGGAUAACCGUGGUAAUUCUAGAGCUAAUACAUGCUAAAAACCCCAACUUCGGGAGGGGUGUAUUUAUUAGAUAAAAAACCAAUGCCCUUCGGGGCUCUUUGGUGAUUCAUGAUAACUUAACGGAUCGCAUGGCCUUGCGCCGGCGACGGUUCAUUCAAAUUUCUGCCCUAUCAACUUUCGAUGGUAAGGUAUUGGCUUACCAUGGUUUCAACGGGUAACGGGGAAUUAGGGUUCGAUUCCGGAGAGGGAGCCUGAGAAACGGCUACCACAUCCAAGGAAGGCAGCAGGCGCGCAAAUUACCCAAUCCCGACACGGGGAGGUAGUGACAAUAAAUACUGAUACAGGGCUCUUUUGGGUCUUGUAAUCGGAAUGAGUACAAUUUAAACCCCUUAACGAGGAACAAUUGGAGGGCAAGUCUGGUGCCAGCAGCCGCGGUAAUUCCAGCUCCAAUAGCGUAUAUUAAAGUUGUUGCAGUUAAAAAGCUCGUAGUUGAACCUUGGGCCUGGCUGGCCGGUCCGCCUCACCGCGUGUACUGGUCCGGCCGGGCCUUUCCUUCUGGAGAGCCCCAUGCCCUUCACUGGGCGUGCGGGGGAACCAGGACUUUUACUUUGAAAAAAUUAGAGUGUUCAAAGCAGGCCUUUGCUCGAAUACGUUAGCAUGGAAUAAUAGAAUAGGACGUGCGGUCCUAUUUUGUUGGUUUCUAGGACCGCCGUAAUGAUUAAUAGGGAUAGUCGGGGGCAUCAGUAUUCAAUUGUCAGAGGUGAAAUUCUUGGAUUUAUUGAAGACUAACUACUGCGAAAGCAUUUGCCAAGGAUGUUUUCAUUAAUCAGUGAACGAAAGUUAGGGGAUCGAAGACGAUCAGAUACCGUCGUAGUCUUAACCGUAAACUAUGCCGACUAGGGAUCGGGCGAUGUUUCUAUCUUGACUCGCUCGGCACCUUACGAGAAAUCAAAGUUUUUGGUUCUGGGGAG